rnacentral:snoRNA from 1 species
UGAUGAUGGUGAGGGCAAUUUUUGAGCAUACCCUUAAAUCUCUCCAAGCUUGGUAGAUAUUCUCUCCUUUUAUCUUCUGAAACUCAAGAUCUCACUCCUCAAGCG